CAGGUACAUUGGUCAAAUUCAAGAGAUUGAUAGCCGGAGCACCCGGAGGAAACGUGGAGACUACACAAACCGGAGUCUCGGGCGCCGUGAGGUUGCGGUUCUGACAGCAGAGACAUUGAGCUGCACUGAAGCUGGUUACAUCGCCGUCUCUGCAAGGUGAGAGUGCUCGGGAAAUAAAUGUUGGUGAUAUCCAUCUCCUGGGAACAAAUACAAGUAAUUGGAGGGUGAGGAAGUCAGAUGCCAUUAAGCUGGAAAGAGU